UACGUAGGGGGCAAGCGUUGUCCGGAAUCAUUGGGCGUAAAGCGCGUGUAGGCGGCUCGUUAAGUCCGGUGUGAAACCUUGGGGCUCAACCCCAAGCCUGCACUGGAUACUGACGAGCUCGAGUCCGGGAGGGGAGAGCGGAAUUCCUAGUGUAGCGGUGAAAUGCGCAGAUAUUAGGAAGAACACCGGUGGCGAAGGCGGCUCUCUGGAACGGUACUGACGCUGAGACGCGAAAGCGUGGGGAGCGAACAGG
rnacentral:rRNA from 1 species